UAAACCUGCGAACUAACCAGCUAAAUUUAUUGAUUUUGAUAGCCUCAAUGAAAAAUUUCCACACCUGCGCCGGCUUUAGUAGCAAUGUAUGCACGAUUGCUCGUUCAUACGAAAUCGAACCGGUGGACAUUAAAAGGAUUCUUGCAGCAAUUGUUGCCCUCUGUUUCCAAGCAUCAAUACAGCCUAUAUUGCUGACAAUGUUCCUAAAUCUAUUACAAAACAACCAACCCAACAGCGCCCUUACACUGUGCGGGCGUUUCGCAGUAAGCCAAUAAAAAACAAUUGAAUUUGUGAGUGCCGGUGCUGUUGUGAAGGGUUAUUCAUGGAUACCACAAAAAGAGAUACAAAACUACAUCAAUGCUGUUGGCAUAAUACUCGCUUCUCUGCCUGAGAAAUAUUGGAAUGCAAAUGAUCACCAUAGUGAGCCACUGAUACCUAUGUGUGUUCAGUUGGUAAUUGCAUUCCGCAUUCUUUUUGGCAUGGUCGUUUGUUGAACCAGCCCACAUAACAGACGCUCGUUUGGCAAGUUCUAUUUCCGUUGCUUGAUAAUGUGCGUGCGCUUUCCAGUACGGGAAGCAGUGAGAAGGUGGAUGGUGCUGCCUUGAGUAAAAAUUGUGAAGACUCGCUGGCCGCACUAAAAUCUCUGCAAGAAAUUAUGCAUGACAAUGCAGACAAAUUGGCGUCACUUGCUAACGAGGAAACAGCGGAAACAAAGAUGAGGAAUUUGCAGGAUUGCAUGGAAUAUUUGGCUAAAUACCGGCAUUGAAAGCACAAAGAUCACAACGAAAAACAACCAUGCCAAAGAGGAGUUUUAUGUGCCUAGUCAGGCAUUUUUAAUAGCGCUAACACAAAUUUUCUAGCACAUACAACUGCGGGGGUGAUACAUCAUUGAAUUCGAAUGUCUUCACUGGGCGCUUGGCGGUUACUGCUUUACUACAUCGAUUCCAAUACGUUUUGAAGCGUUUCAAUGACGACGAACGGCUGAUGGGCGCCGUGCAAGGGCCACAGUAGUUCAUUCCGGGGUAUUGGUCGUAACUAUCAGUGAAGUGCACAGCUGCCAAAUGCGCAUUAAGUCAAUUAAAGAACCAGUUUGAUAACAAAGAAGGAUCAUACCACAACAUUACCGGCACCCUGACACUUAUUGAAUAAGUACCAAAUAAGUAAAUACAUAUCGUCACCUGAAAUGCAAAAAGACGUAACAAUAUCGUAAAUGAGAUUGAAAAAGUCGUGACUAAUAUUUUCAUUAUUUUUUUCAUAAAAUGAUGUGGGAAGUUGUAACUCGUUGAAAUCCAUUAUAUAAAUCAAAAAGUAAAUUUUGAAUUUUUUAUUAGUUAUGACUUUUUGCAUUUUAACAAUGAUUUUUGUUAC